AGCUUGCGUGGUGGAUCAGUGGCGAACGGGUGAGUAACACGUGAGCAACCUGCCCUGGACUCUGGGAUAAGCGCUGGAAACGGCGUCUAAUACUGGAUAUGAGACGUGAUCGCAUGGUCGUGUUUGGAAAGAUUUUUCGGUCUGGGAUGGGCUCGCGGCCUAUCAGCUUGUUGGUGAGGUAAUGGCUCACCAAGGCGUCGACGGGUAGCCGGCCUGAGAGGGUGACCGGCCACACUGGGACUGAGACACGGCCCAGACUCCUACGGGAGGCAGCAGUGGGGAAUAUUGCACAAUGGGCGAAAGCCUGAUGCAGCAACGCCGCGUGAGGGAUGACGGCCUUCGGGUUGUAAACCUCUUUUAGCAGGGAAGAAGCGAAAGUGACGGUACCUGCAGAAAAAGCGCCGGCUAACUACGUGCCAGCAGCCGCGGUAAUACGUAGGGCGCAAGCGUUAUCCGGAAUUAUUGGGCGUAAAGAGCUCGUAGGCGGUUUGUCGCGUCUGCUGUGAAAUCCCGAGGCUCAACCUCGGGCCUGCAGUGGGUACGGGCAGACUAGAGUGCGGUAGGGGAGAUUGGAAUUCCUGGUGUAGCGGUGGAAUGCGCAGAUAUCAGGAGGAACACCGAUGGCGAAGGCAGAUCUCUGGGCCGUAACUGACGCUGAGGAGCGAAAGGGUGGGGAGCAAACAGGCUUAGAUACCCUGGUAGUCCACCCCGUAAACGUUGGGAACUAGUUGUGGGGACCAUUCCACGGUUUCCGUGACGCAGCUAACGCAUUAAGUUCCCCGCCUGGGGAGUACGGCCGCAAGGCUAAAACUCAAGGAAUUGACGGGGACCCGCACAAGCGGCGGAGCAUGCGGAUUAAUUCGAUGCCA
rnacentral:rRNA from 1 species